AGAGUUUGAUCCUGGCUCAGGACGAACGCUGGCGGCGCGCCUAACACAUGCAAGUCGAACGGAGCUUAGAGAGCUUGCUUUUUAAGCUUAGUGGCGAACGGGUGAGUAACGCGUGAGUAACCUGCCCUAGAGUGGGGGACAACAGUUGGAAACGACUGCUAAUACCGCAUAAGCCCACGGUACCGCAUGGUACUGAGGGAAAAGGAUUUAUUCGCUUUAGGAUGGACUCGCGUCCAAUUAGCUAGUUGGUGAGGUAACGGCCCACCAAGGCGACGAUUGGUAGCCGGACUGAGAGGUUGAACGGCCACAUUGGGACUGAGACACGGCCCAGACUCCUACGGGAGGCAGCAGUGGGGAAUAUUGCACAAUGGGGGAAACCCUGAUGCAGCGACGCCGCGUGGAGGAAGAAGGUCUUCGGAUUGUAAACUCCUGUUGUUGAGGAAGAUAAUGACGGUACUCAACAAGGAAGUGACGGCUAACUACGUGCCAGCAGCCGCGGUAAAACGUAGGUCACAAGCGUUGUCCGGAAUUACUGGGUGUAAAGGGAGCGCAGGCGGGAAGACAAGUUGGAAGUGAAAUCUAUGGGCUCAACCCAUAAACUGCUUUCAAAACUGUUUUUCUUGAGUAGUGCAGAGGUAGGCGGAAUUCCCGGUGUAGCGGUGGAAUGCGUAGAUAUCGGGAGGAACACCAGUGGCGAAGGCGGCCUACUGGGCACCAACUGACGCUGAGGCUCGAAAGUGUGGGUAGCAAACAGGAUUAGAUACCCUGGUAGUCCACACCGUAAACGAUGAUUACUAGGUGUUGGAGGAUUGACCCCUUCAGUGCCGCAGUUAACACAAUAAGUAAUCCACCUGGGGAGUACGACCGCAAGGUUGAAACUCAAAGGAAUUGACGGGGGCCCGCACAAGCAGUGGAGUAU
rnacentral:rRNA from 1 species